rnacentral:rRNA from 1 species
UACGAAGGGGGCUAGCGUUGCUCGGAAUCACUGGGCGUAAAGGGUGCGUAGGCGGGUCUUUAAGUCAGGGGUGAAAUCCUGGAGCUCAACUCCAGAACUGCCUUUGAUACUGAAGAUCUUGAGUUCGGGAGAGGUGAGGUGGAACUGCGAGUGUAGAGGUGAAAUUCGUAGAUAUUCGCAAGAACACCAGUGGCGAAGGCGGCUCACUGGCCCGAUACUGACGCUGAGGCACGAAAGCGUGGGGAG